GAUGAACGCUGGCGGCGUGCCUAAUACAUGCAAGUCGAGCGAACGGACGAGAAGCUUGCUUCUCUGAUGUUAGCGGCGGACGGGUGAGUAACACGUGGAUAACCUACCUAUAAGACUGGGAUAACUUCGGGAAACCUUAGCUAAUACCGGAUAAUAUUUUGAACCGCAUGGUUCAAAAGUGAAAGACGGUCUUGCUGUCACUUAUAGAUGGAUCCGCUCUGCAUUAGCUAGUUGGUAAGGUAACGGCUUACCAAGGCAACGAUGCAUAGCCGACCUGAGAGGGUGAUCGGCCACACUGGAACUGAGACACGGUCCAGACUCCUACGGGAGGCAGCAGUAGGGAAUCUUCCGCAAUGGGCGAAAGCCUGACGGAGCAACGCCGCGUGAGUGAUGAAGGUCUUCGGAUCGUAAAACUCUGUUAUUAGGGAAGAACAUAUGUGUAAGUAACUGUGCACAUCUUGACGGUACCUAAUCAGAAAGCCACGGCUAACUACGUG
rnacentral:rRNA from 1 species